rnacentral:tRNA from 1 species
CAAGUUAUUGGAAGGGGUAAGCCUAGUCUGUUCUGCCGUAGCGGAAAUAGAAGGUGACUUUCCACUUUCUGCAGUUCAAUCCCCUCAUGAUUUGGC